AGAACGAACGCUGGCGGCAUGCCUAAUACAUGCAAGUCGAACGAACACUUCGGUGUUAGUGGCGCACGGGUGCGUAACGCGUGGGAAUCUGCCCUUGGGUUCGGAAUAACAGUUGGAAACGACUGCUAAUACCGGAUGAUGACGAAAGUCCAAAGAUUUAUCGCCAAGGGAUGACGCCCGCGUAGGAUUAGCUAGUGGUGAGGUAAAGCUCACAAGGCAACGAUCCUUAGCUGGUCUGAGAGGAUGAUCACGCCACACUGGGACUGAGACGACGGACCCAGUACCUCCGUACGGGACGGCAACGCAAGGUAGGGAAUAGUGGAACAAGUGGACGAAAGCC
rnacentral:rRNA from 1 species